rnacentral:rRNA from 1 species
UACAGAGGUCCCGAGCGUUGUUCGGAUUCACUGGGCGUAAAGGGUGCGCAGGCGGUUGGGUGUGUCAGAUGUGAAAUCCCGAGGCUUAACCUCGGAACUGCGUCUGAAACUACUCGACUAGAGUACUGGAGAGGGAAACGGAAUUCACGGUGUAGCAGUGAAAUGCGUAGAUAUCGUGAGGAACACCAGAGGCGAAGGCGGUUUCCUGGACAGUUACUGACGCUCAGGCACGAAAAGCAUGGGGGAGCAAAAAGGG